rnacentral:tRNA from 1 species
GAGGGUAUGGCUCAGUGGUAGAGCACAGAUCUAACGUGUGAGGCCCUGGGUUCAGUCCCAGUACCACCA